GAUGAACGCUAGCGACAGGCUUAACACAUGCAAGUCGAGGGGCAGCACAAUGUAGCAAUACACGGGUGGCGACCGGCGCACGGGUGAGUAACGCGUAUGCAACUUGCCUAUCAGAGGGGGAUAACCCGUCGAAAGACGGACUAAUACCGCAUGAAACAGGGGCCCCGCAUGGGGAUAUUUGUUAAAGGAAAUCGCUGAUAGAUAGGCAUGCGUUCCAUUAGGUAGUUGGCGGGGCAACGGCCCACCAAGCCGACGAUGGAUAGGGGUUCUGAGAGGAAGGUCCCCCACACUGGUACUGAGACACGGACCAGACUCCUACGGGAGGGCAGCAGUGAGGAAUAUUGGUCAAUGGGCGAGAGCCUGAACCAGCCAAGUCGCGUGAGGGAUGACGGCCCUACGGGUUGUAAACCUCUUUAUUAAGGGAAUAAAGACAUCACGAGUGGUGUUUUGUCAUGUACCUUA
rnacentral:rRNA from 1 species